AUUGAACGCUGGCGGCAGGCUUAACACAUGCAAGUAGAGCGAGUGGCGGACGGGUGAGUAAUGUCUGGGAAACUGCCUGAUGGAGGGGGAUAACUACUGGAAACGGUAGCUAAUACCGCAUACCAUCGGAUGUGCCCAGAUGGGAUUAGCUAGUAGGUGGGGUAAGUGCGCACCUAGGCGAGGAUCCCUAGCGGGUCUGCGAGGAUGACCAGCCAAACUGGCACUGAUAAACUGUCCAGACUGUGACGUGGGGCAGCAGUGGGGAGUAUUGCACAAUGGGCGCAAUGCUGAUGCAGCCUGGCCGCGGAUGUGAAGCAGGCCUUCGGGUUGUAAAGCACUUUCAGCGAGGAGGGGUUACUCGCAGAAGGAGCGCCGGCUAACUCCGUGCCAGCAGCCGCGGUAAUUC
rnacentral:rRNA from 1 species